CGCCAUGUGAAUGUGCAGCAGCCUCCACAGGGCACCACUGCAUUUGCCUCUACACAGCACAGACUUCCACUUUGUUCCAUCUCUGGAACAUCCAUCCAUCCAUUUUGUUCCAUCACUGCACUGGCUUCACUUUAUUCCCAAUGUCUCAGUCUACUUCUGUCCUGUUCAAAGCAGUCAACAUAAUUCGGUCAAAGGACUGAAAAUGUUUGCUCACAAGUGGAAAGUAUCAGGAUCACACAUCACUGUAGGGAUGACUCUGCUAUCAAGAGUACAUGCUCAGUACACUGUGACUAUUGGGAGCAUGCAUACCAUUUCAAGUUUCCCCAAAUAAAG
rnacentral:lncRNA from 1 species